AAAGUGUGUUUUGGUGUAUGCUUAUUGCACAGAGUUGUGUGCUGUCAUAGAGACGGUGGUUCCCCGAACAAAGGAAACUCUGACGCACAGAAGACAUAAUACAGUGGCCCCCACCCUGGCGUCUGUUGUAUUAAGAUGGCUGU